UAGUGAUGAGGAUGCCAUAUUUUUUAACUGACAAUCCUGAUGUCUGGAAUACGCUAUUCUGAGCUAUUA